rnacentral:other from 1 species
AGUCCCCUGCUGCGUGCGAUAGGGCCCAUUUUUUCCGAACCGAUAGCUUCCUUUGGUUGCGGGCCCAUGGUUACUGUUGUGAUCGUCCCACCGUUUGUGUGCCGGAUGAGCCUGAUGUGACCGGAAUGCAACCGCCCUGUUUAGCCAGGGUUCGGGAGCCGGGCCCGCCGGCGCAAGCGGGGGACAC